rnacentral:rRNA from 1 species
GACGAACGCUGGCGGCGUGCUUAACACAUGCAAGUCGAACGGAAAGGCCCUGCUUUUGUGGGGUGCUCGAGUGGCGAACGGGGGAGUAACACGUGAGUAACCUGCCCCUGACUUUGGGAGAACUUUAGGAAACUGGGGCUAAUACCGGAUAGGAGCUCUUGCUGCACGUUGUGGGUUGGUAAGUGUCGGCGGUUGGGGAUGGACUCGCGGCUUAUCAGCUUGUUAGGGGGGUAGUGGCUUACAAAGGUUUUGACGGGUAGCCGGCCUGUGGGGGUGACCGGCCACCUUGGGACUUAGAUACGGCCCAGACUCCUACGGGAGGCAGCAGUGGGGAAUCUUGCACAAUGGGCGGCAGCCUGGUGCAGCAGCGCCGUGUGCGGGAUGACGGUCUUCGGGUUGUAAAACGCUUUCGCUCAUGACGAAGCUUUGUGUGACGGUAGUGGGUAAAGAAGCACCGGCUAACUACGUG